rnacentral:rRNA from 1 species
CAAUAGCGUAUAUUAAAGUUGUUGCAGUUAAAAAGCUCGUAGUUGGAUUUGUGGCGUACGGUGUGUUCCGGGCACUUGUUGUCUGAGUAACCUGCUGUUGCCAUCCUUGGGUGGAACCUGUGUGGCAUUAGGUUGUCGUGCAGGGGAUGCCAUCAUUUACUGUGAAAAAAUUAGAGUGUUCAAAGCAGGCUUAUGCCGUUGAAUAUAUUAGCAUGGAAUAAUGAGAUAGGACUUUUUUGCUAUUUUGUUGGUUUGCGCAAAGAGGUAAUGAUUAAUAGGGACAGUUGGGGGUAUUCGUAUUCCAUUGUCAGAGGUGAAAUUCUUGGAUUUUUGGAAGACGAACUACUGCGAAAGCAUUUACCAAGGAUGUUUUCAUUAA